GAUGAACGCUGGCGGCGCGCCUAACACAUGCAAGUCGAACGAUUAAAGCACCUUCGGGUGUGUAUAAAGUGGCGAACGGCUGAGUAACACGUGGGCAACCUGCCCCUCUCAUUGGGAUAGCCACGGGAAACCGUGGAUAAUACCGAAUACUUCGGGACUUCCGCAUGGAAGACUCGAGAAAGCUCCGGCGGAGAGGGGUGGGCCCGCGGCCUGUUAGCUUGUUGGUGGGGUAAUGGCCUACCAAGGCAAUGAUGGGUAGCUGGGUUGAGAGACCGACCAGCCAGAUUGGGACUGAGACACGGCCCAGACUCCUACGGGAGGCAGCAGUGGGGAAUCUUGCACAAUGGGCGAAAGCCUGAUGCAGCGACGCCGCGUGCGGGAUGAAGGCCUUCGGGUUGUAAACCGCUUUCAGCAGGGACGAGGCGAAAGUGACGGUACCUGCAGAAGAAGCCCCGGCUAACUACGUG
rnacentral:rRNA from 1 species